ACUACGGGUGGCAGCAGUGAGGAAUAUUGGUCAAUGGGCGAGAGCCUGAACCAGCCAAGUCGCGUGAAGGAUGAAGGAUCUAUGGUUUGUAAACUUCUUUUAUAUGGGAAUAAAGUGAGGAACGUGUUCCUUUUUGUAUGUACCAUAUGAAUAAGCAUCGGCUAACUCCGUGCCAGCAGCCGCGGUAAUACGGAGGAUGCGAGCGUUAUCCGGAUUUAUUGGGUUUAAAGGGUGCGUAGGUGGUUAAUUAAGUCAGUUGUGAAAGUUUGUGGGUCAACCAUAAAAUUGCAGUUGAAACUGGUUGUCUUGAGUAUAUUUGAGGUAGGCGGAAUGCGUGGUGUAGCGGUGAAAUGCUUAGAUAUCACGAAGAACCCCGAUUGCGAAGGCAGCUUACUAAACUAUAACUGACACUGAAGCACGAAAGUGUGGGGAUCAAACAGGAUUAGAUACCCGAGUAGUC
rnacentral:rRNA from 1 species